rnacentral:lncRNA from 1 species
AUUUCUUCAGAUAAAGAAUCCAUGAGUGGUGCACGCUUGUAAGCCUAGAGCUCAGGAGGCUGAAGCAAGAGGAUCGCCAAGUUCAAAGCCAGCCUCAGCAAAAGCAAGGCAUUAAGCAACUCAGUGAGACCAAGCAACUCAGUGAGACCCCGUCUCUAAAUAAAAAUGCAAAAAAUAGGGCUGCUGAUGUGGCUCAGUAGUUGAGUGUCCCUGAGUUCAAUCCCUGGUAGAAAAAAAAAAAAUCCAUGAGUGGACUGUAGGAUAAUUCUGGCUCAGGAUCUUUCGUGAGGUUACAGUCAAGGCUGUCACCAUGUGAAGCAUAGAUUGGGACUGGAGGAUCUGCUUCAAAGGCUGGCAGAUUGAUGCUGGCUAUUGGCAGGAUGCCUCUGGACUCCUCCACAAGAUUGAUUUCUCCCAGAGCAAAUUAUCGAAGAAUGAGCAAAGUGAAUGAUCUGAUGUAUUUUAUGACAUAGUCUUGGAAGUCAUACACUGUGUCAUCUCUGCAAUAUCCUAUUGGUUAUUCAAGUUGGCCCCCUUUGUGUAGGAGGGAGCUACACACACAUACACAAAGACAAAGCUAGGAGUUGAUGAUCAUUGGGCAUCAUUUUGGAGGCUGGCUGCCAACCUCUCUGCAGCACUAAACCAUGGAUGUAUCUUCAUCUUUGGAUCCACAGCUGGAAUUGAAUGUAGGGAAACCAAUUCUGGGGCUAAGAACUUCAAAACCUGAGCACCAAUAUAUUACUUCUGAAUCUGCAAAGUGAAGCAUUCAAAAUAUGCCUAGACAUAUUGGGGAUCUAGGAAAGAUCUUGAGGGUAAGAAAACCAUGUAAGUCCCACACUCCACCCCAACUCAACAUGAAUCUCCAAAAUUGUAUUUAGUCAUUCUUUCCCUUUUGAUAAACAUUUUACAAACUACAAGAUGCACAAAUCCUAGGUGUACAUUUGCCCAAUUUGUUGUUGUAGUUUGCUUUUUUUGUUUUGUCUGUUUUCAUGGUGUUGGGGAUAAACCAGGGCCUCACACAUGUUAAGCAAGAGCUCUGAGCCACUUCCAUAGCCCCUAGUUUCAAAUAAUGUCUUAUGCCUGUAAAACACCAGACCCUAUAAAAAUACAGAACAUUCCCUCUUGGUCCUUUCCAGUCGACUGCCCACCUCUGCCCUACACACCUCACACCAAGGCAACCAUUGUUCUGACAUCUUUUUACUGCAGAAUUUUAUGUGUUCUAGAAUUUCCAAUAAAUGGAAUCAUAC